GGGCUCGUGGCGCAGACAGGUAGCGCAGCAGGCUUUUAACCUGAUGGCCGCGGGUUCGAAUCCCGCCGAGCCCGCCA
rnacentral:tRNA from 1 species